GCUCUGCCUGGCUACUUUUACCCAUGUUUUUAGAGUACCAAAAGUUUCCUCGGCGGCUCUGCCCGCCGGUCGGACUCCAUUCAAACCCUUUGCAGUUGCAGUCAGCGUCUGAUAAACAAAAUAAUUACAACUUUCAACAACGGAUCUCUUGGUUCUGGCAUCGAUGAAGAACGCAGCGAAAUGCGAUAAGUAGUGUGAAUUGCAGAAUUCAGUGAAUCAUCGAAUCUUUGAACGCACAUUGCACCUCUCGGUAUUCCGGGAGGUAUGCCUGUUCGAGCGUCAUUUGUACCCUCAAGCUCUGCUUGGUGUUGGGUGUUUGUUCCGCCUUUGCGUGUGAACUCGCCCUAAAACAAUUGGCAGCCGGCGUACUUGUUUCGGAGCGCAGCACAUUUUGCGUUCAGAUCAGUGUACACUGGCACCCAAGAAGCCUUAUUUUAACGCUCUUGACCUCGGAUCAGGUAGGGAUACCCGCUGAACUUAAGCAUAUCAAUAAAGCCGGAGGA
rnacentral:rRNA from 1 species